GUUCGAGGACUUGCUCUCUCUCUGCCUCCACUCUCUGCCUUCACUGCACCAAAGUUUGGCUGUUGAGUCUCCUCUAGUAUGGUUGACCACUUGACAUGUGAGAGCUUGAGGAGUUGUUCCCCCUCCGUCCAUUUUCAAGGAUUUGCUCCCUUACUGCCUCCACUUCACCACUUUUUGGCUACUGAGAAGUCUAUGAUUAGUUGAGUAUGUCAUGUGUCUUAUAAUGUUAUAUGAAUUCAUACUUGAUUUGUGAUGAUGAGAGACUUAAUAAUGUUUCCAUGUCUCUUUUAGGUUGACCACCCUAUACAGUAUAUGAGAGCCUAAUAAGUUGUUUUCCCUCUGUCCCCUUUUGAGGACCUGCUUUGUCUCCUCCAUCAUUCACUGGGCCACUUUUGGGUUCCUGGGCUUAUUUCAUGUGGUUUUCCUGACCUGCUAGAAGUUCUUCUAUGAUGCUUGAGUCAUCCAUCAUAUCUGAGAGCUUCGUCUUGACUUUGUCACGAAUUUGGUGAGGAGUGGAGCUGGCUGGCUGCGGACGAGGAAGUAGAGCAAUACAUACUUGUGCACAUACACGUAUAUGCAGGGGUGAAAGUGGUUUGAAUUUCUUGCAGGUACUAUAAUGCUACCCCGACCUUCAUUGGUUCAUAUUGUUCUCCUCCCGCCCCCAGCUUCAUGCAUCCCUGAACACAAACUUCACAUUUUUAAUGCCUUUAUGGGGUAGAAAUU